UCCCUGGUGGCUCAGACGGUAAAGCGUCUGCCUGCAAUGCAGGACACCCGGGUUCGAUCCCUGGGUUGGGAA
rnacentral:tRNA from 1 species